rnacentral:rRNA from 1 species
UGAGGAAUAUUGGUCAAUGGGCGAGAGCCUGAACCAGCCAAGUAGCGUGCAGGAUGACGGCUCUAUGGGUUGUAAACCGCUUUUAUAUGGGAAUAAAGUGCGGGACGUGUCCCUUAUUGCAUGUACCAUACGAAUAAGGACCGGCUAAUUUCGUGCCAGCAGCCGCGGUAAUACGGAAGGUUCGGGCGUUAUCCGGAUUUACUGGGCGUAAAGGGUGCGUUGGUGGUCUUUCAAGUCGGUGGUAAAAGGCUACGGCUCAACCGUAGUUAGCCUCUGAAACUGGAAGACUGGAGUGCAGGAGAGGAAGGUGGAAUUCCCAGUGUAGCGGUGAAAUGCGUAGAUAUUGGGAGGAACACCAGUAGCGAAGGCGGCUUUCUGGACUGCAACUGACACUGAGGCACGAAAGCGUGGGUAGCAAACAGG